rnacentral:rRNA from 1 species
GAUGAACGCUAGCUACAGGCUUAACACAUGCAAGUCGAGGGGCAGCACAGUGUAGCAAUACACGGGUGGCGACCGGCGCACGGGUGCGUAACGCGUAUCCAACCUUCCCGAUACUCUUGGAUAGCCUUCCGAAAGGGAGAUUAAUACAAGAUGGUAUUCAAAUUCCGCAUGUUAUUUGAAUUAAAGGAUUUAUCGGUAUCGGGAUGGGGAUGCGUGACAUUAGAUAGUAGGCGGGGUAACGGCCCACCUAGUCUACGAUGUCUAGGGGUUCUGAGAGGAAGGUCCCCCACAUUGGAACUGAGACACGGUCCAAACUCCUACGGGAGGCAGCAGUGAGGAAUAUUGGUCAAUGGGCGAAAGCCUGAACCAGCCAAGUCGCGUGAAGGAUGAAGGUUCUAUGGAUUGUAAACUUCUUUUGUCUGAGGGUAAAAAGCGGACGUGUCCGUUCUUGCAAGUAUCAGACGAAUAAGCAUCGGCUAACUCCGUG